CCAGAGCCGCUGAGCUCCGUGCCUUCCGGACCCCACGCCGCUGGGCUGUGGUCUUUCUCCAGGGGGGGACUGCCACGGGCACAGGCCCAGCUGCAGCCUUGUGGAGGGGUCUGGACUCCAGAGAGGGCUCAGGCCCCACCCCUGCCGGGCCCUCCGUGGGCCCCACCCUGCCGGGCCCUCCGUGGGUGCCCCCACCCUGCCCGGCCCUCCGUGGGUGCCCCCACCCUGCCCGGCCCUCCGUGGGUGCCUCCCAGGCCACGUCCUUUCCUUCAGGUAUCCGUGGUAGCUAGGAAAUUAAACUCGACCCCUGCCACGUGCUCUCCCCUGCGCGCCAUGACGGAGCUUCUACAGUGAGGAGCGCGUUCCUUCUUGAGAGUGCACCUGCCCUCCAGCCGGAGCCCGCGCCCCAUCGCCGCGCCUGUGUCUGGCCUGGGGUCCACCUCCUGUAGAAGCUUCCUGAGUCGGCUUCGUGGCUGGCCCCGGCCUCGGGCGGGGGAGGGGGGCCUCUACCCAGCCUGGAGCGGCCUCUCUUCUUUGCACCUCCCUUUCUUGGAUACACAUUUUCAAAAGUGAUCAAUUCUUACUGAUGGCUUAUAACGCGACCGUAUUUUAUAUUACUAGCCUUUAAUAAAGCUGUUUAAAAAUUUUGAA